AUUGAACGCUGGCGGCAGGCCUAACACAUGCAAGUCGAACGAGUGGCGGACGGGUGAGUAAUGUCUGGGAAACUGCCUGAUGGAUGGGGAUAACUACUGGAAACGGUAGCUAAUAACGCAUACCAUCGGAUGUGCCAAGAGUGGAUUAGCUCGGAGGUGGGGUAACGGCUCACCUAGGCGACGAUCCCUAGCUGGUCUGAGAGGAUGACCAGCAAAACUGGAACAGAGACACGGCCCAGACUCCUACGGGAGGCAGCAGUGGGGAAUAUUGCACAAGUGGCGAAAGCCUGAUGCAGCCAUGCCGCGUGUAUGAAGAAGGCCUUCGGGUUGUAAAGUACUUUCAGCGGGGAGGCGUUACCCGCAGAAGAAGCACCGGCUAACUCCGUGCCAGCGGCCGCGGUAAUAC
rnacentral:rRNA from 1 species